UUUUCUAGCUUGCUAGAAGAUGACGAGCGGCGGACGGGUGAGUAAUACUUAGGAAUCUACCUAGUAGUGGGGGAUAGCUCGGGGAAACUCGAAUUAAUACCGCAUACGACCUACGGGAGAAAGGGGGCAACUUGUUGCUCUCGCUAUUAGAUGAGCCUAAGUCGGAUUAGCUAGAUGGUGGGGUAAAGGCCUACCAUGGCGACGAUCUGUAGCUGGUCUGAGAGGAUGAUCAGCCACACCGGGACUGAGACACGGCCCGGACUCCUACGGGAGGCAGCAGUGGGGAAUAUUGGACAAUGGGGGAAACCCUGAUCCAGCCAUGCCGCGUGUGUGAAGAAGGCCUUUUGGUUGUAAAGCACUUUAAGCAGUGAAGAAGACUCUUCGGUUAAUACCCGGAGACGAUGACAUUAGCUGCAGAAUAAGCACCGGCUAACUCUGUGCCAGCAGCCGCGGUAAUACAGAGGGUGCAAGCGUUAAUCGGAAUUACUGGGCGUAAAGCGAGCGUAGGUGGCUUGAUAAGUCAGAUGUGAAAUCCCCGGGCUUAACCUGGGAACUGCAUCUGAUACUGUCAGGCUAGAGUAGGUGAGAGGAAGGUAGAAUUCCAGGUGUAGCGGUGAAAUGCGUAGAGAUCUGGAGGAAUACCGAUGGCGAAGGCAGCCUUCUGGCAUCAUACUGACACUGAGGCUCGAAAGCGUGGGUAGCAAACAGGAUUAGAUACCCUGGUAGUCCACGCCGUAAACGAUGUCUACUAGUCGUUGGGUCCCUUGAGGACUUAGUGACGCAGCUAACGCAAUAAGUAGACCGCCUGGGGAGUACGGCCGCAAGGUUAAAACUCAAAUGAAUUGACGGGGGCCCGCACAAGCGGUGGAGCAUGUGGUUUAAUUCGAUGCAACGCGAAGAACCUUACCUGGUCUUGACAUAUCUAGAAUCCUGCAGAGAUGCGGGAGUGCCUUCGGGAAUUAAAAUACAGGUGCUGCAUGGCUGUCCUCACCUCCUGUCCUGAGAUGUUUGGGUUAAGUCCCGCAACGAGCGCAACCCUUGUCCUUAUUUACCAACCGGGUUAAACCCGGGAACUCUUAAGGAUACUGGCCCUUGACAAACUUGGAGGAAAGGGGGGG
rnacentral:rRNA from 1 species